AGCUUUUGUGUGAGUAUUUACAGCUCUUCACUUAAUACUGGUUUACAAGAAUCAGCUGCAAAACCAUGGCUACAGUCACUGUUGAAUAUUGUAAAGGAUGAAGCUAUGCAUAUCGCUACCAGGAGCUGGCUGGUGCCAUAAGGCAGGUUCCUGGUGUGCUUGUGACGGGAGUCAAGGGGAGAACAGACAGUUUUGAGGUGUCACUGAAUGGUGAGCUGAUCCACUCCAAGCUGGAUACAGAAGUGUUUCCUGAUACUUCGCAGAUGGUGGAGUUGGUGAAGAAGACGGUUGGGGUAAAAGGGGGGGAGGGGAAGUCAAAGGCAGUGAACCGGAAGAACAAAUGUGUUCACCAUUAGAAGAUUGAAAGUUACAACAGGAUCCCUCACACCUGCCUAUUUGAAUACAAGAAAAUAUUUGUGUUUGUAGACUAAGUUUCACCAUCAUGGAAAGAUCAAACCUCAUGAAUACGGACAAAGACAAGAAGGUGAUGAGAGAGCUUUGAGGAGCUGGGCACUGAUUCGUACUUCUAUUUAUGAAUGUAUGCACUGAAAACAUGGGUGUGUACACGAUGCAAACCAAGAAGCUUUUCAGCUGAUCUGGAACCUUAGAAACUGCUCUCAUCAUGUCUGUCUCUAACUCAUUAUUAGGAGUUUAAAGAAAUAAUUUGAUAUUUUUGGUAAAACACAUAUUAGCUUUAGCUUUUUUGCUGUGAGUUAAACAAGAAGACUGACAGAUUUCCCCAAUGAGAGAGGUGUUAAUGUCCUCAUCUAAUUCUCUUUAAGAAAGUGAAUCGGCAUGUUUCUUGAAAAAUGCCCAACUAUGUAAUCUUUGUGUGUUUGCUGGCAGAAUGUGCGUCACUCAUUUCAUCUUCCUUGUCAUUUAUAAUCUCAAACACUUCAUGAACAUGGACUCAUAUCUGCCAUUCAUGCCUUUCUUUCUGUUCCCUGCAUGGUGUUUGGUUGUGAUGAGCUGAGCACUGCAAAUGUUACACAUAACAUGUCACUAUUUAAAUGACUUCCUGUUAUGCUAUUGUUAACCAGUUUGUAACCUAUUCUAAAAAAAGAAAACCCAAACUACGUUAUAGAAAUGCAAUAAAAUAUCACUGAAAAUCCAAUAAUAUGAUCAUUUCUGAUGAUUUUCAUGGCACUUGAUAAAAAGUUAGCAAGCUGUUGUAGAAAAGAAGGCCACGCAGGCACGCCUCUAGUCAAAUUUCCUCCUUUGUAAUGAUCAGUACCAACAGUGCUGUCUAUGUGCCUGGCUGGACUGAUAUGAUCGUCCACCUGAAUACACAUCACAGCGUCUUCGACUUCCUGAACUGUCCCCGUUCCAACGUCCCUCUUU